rnacentral:rRNA from 1 species
CUCCUACGGGAGGCAGCAGUGGGGAAUUUUGGGACAAUGGGGGAAACCCUGGAUCCAGCCAUUCCGCGUGAGUGAAGAAGGCCUUCGGGUUGUAAAGCUACUUUUGUCCGGUAGCGAAACGGUUACGGUGAAUAUCCGUGACUACUGACGGUACCGGAAGAAUAAGCACCGGCUAACUACGUGCCAGCCGCCGCGGUAAUAC